GACGAACCACACGAACGUUAUUCGGAAUUACUGGGCUUAAAGGGUGCGUAGGCGGCGCGGAAAGUAGGGUGUGAAAUCCCUCGGCUCAACCGAGGAAUUGCGCCCUAAACUACCGUGCUCGAGGAAGAUAGAGGUGAGCGGAACUUAGGGUGGAGCGGUGAAAUGCGUUGAUAUCCUAAGGAACACCGGUGGCGAAAGCGGCUCACUGGAUCUUUUCUGACGCUGAGGCACGAAAGCUAGGGUAGCGAACGGGAUUAGAUACCCCAGUAGU
rnacentral:rRNA from 1 species